AUGUGGAGGCUAUAUACAGGGUGUUAUGGUACAGAGUCAAUGUGGAGGCUAUAUACAGGGUGUUAUGGUACAGAGUCAAUGUGGAGGCUAUAUACAGGGUGUUACGGUACAGAGUCAAUGUGGAGACUAUAUACAGGGUAUUACGGUACAGAGUCAAUGUGGAGACUAUAUACAGGGUAUUACGGUACAGAGUCAAUGUGGAGGCUAUAUACAGGGUAUUACGGUACAGAGUCAAUGUGGAGACUAUAUACAGGGUAUUACGGUACAGAGUCAAUGUGGAGGCUAUAUACAGGGUGUUAUGGUACAGAGUCAAUGUGGAGGCUAUAUACAGGGUAUUACGGUACAGAGUCAAUGUGGAGACUAUAUACAGGGUAUUACGGUACAGAGUCAAUGUGGAGACUAUAUACAGGGUAUUACGGUACAGAGUCAAUGUGGAGGCUAUAUACAGGGUAUUACGGUACAGAGUCAAUGUGGAGACUAUAUACAGGGUAUUACGGUACAGAGUCAAUGUGGAGACUAUAUACAGGGUAUUACGGUACAGAGUCAAUGUGGAGGCUAUAUACAGGGUAUUACGGUACAGAGUCAAUGUGGAGACUAUAUACAGGGUAUUACGGUACAGAGUCAAUGUGGAGACUAUAUACAGGGUAUUACGGUACAGAGUCAAUGUGGAGGCUAUAUACAGGGUAUUACGGUACAGAGUCAAUGUGGAGGCUAUAUACAGGGUAUUACGGUACAGAGUCAAUGUGGAGGCUAUAUACAGGGUGUUACGGUACAGAGUCAAUGUGGAGGCUAUAUACAGGGUGUUAUGGUACAGAGUCAAUGUGGAGGCUAUAUACAGGGUGUUAUGGUACAGAGUCAAUGUGGAGGCUAUAUACAGGGUGUUAUGGUACAGAGUCAAUGUGGAGGCUAUAUACAGGGUGUUACGGUACAGAGUCAAUGUGGAGGCUAUAUACAGGGUGUUAUGGUACAGAGUCAAUGUGGAGGCUAUAUACAGGGUGUUACGGUACAGAGUCAAUGUGGAGGCUAUAUACAGGGUGUUAUGGUACAGAGUCAAUGUGGAGGCUAUAUAAAGGGUGUUACGGUACAGAGUCAAUGUGGAGGCUAUAUACAGGGUGUUAUGGUACAGAGUCAAUGUGGAGGCUAUAUACAGGGUGUUAUGGUACAGAGUCAAUGUGGAGGCUAUAUACAGGGUGUUAUGGUACAGAGUCAAUGUGGAGGCUAUAUACAGGGUGUUAUGGUACAGAGUCAAUGUGGAGGCUAUAUACAGGGGGUACCGGUACAGAGUCAAUGUGGAGGCUAUAUACAAGGGGUACCGGUACAGAGUCAAUGUGGAGGCUAUAUACAGGGGGUACCGGUACAGAGUCAACGUGGAGGCUAUAUACAAGGUAUUAUGGUACAGAGUCAAUGUGGAGGCUAUAUACAGGGUGUACCGGUACAGAGUCAAUGUGGAGGCUAUAUACAGGGUGUACCGGUACAGAGUCAAUGUGGAGGCUAUAUAAAGGGUGUUACGGUACAGAGUCAAUGUGGAGGCUAUAUACAGGGUGUUAUGGUACAGAGUCAAUGUGGAGGCUAUAUACAGGGUGUUAUGGUACAGAGUCAAUGUGGAGGCUAUAUACAGGGUGUUAUGGUACAGAGUCAAUGUGGAGGCUAUAUACAGGGUGUUACGGUACAGAGUCAAUUGGGAGGCUAUAUAAAGGGUGUUACGGUACAGAGUCAAUGUGGAGGCUAUAUACAGGGUGUUAUGGUACAGAGUCAAUGUGGAGGCUAUAUACAGGGUGUUAUGGUACAGAGUCAAUGUGGAGGCUAUAUACAGGGGGUACCGGUACAGAGUCAAUGUGGAGGCUAUAUACAGGGUGUUACGGUACAGAGUCAAUGUGGAGGCUAUAUACAGGGUGUUAUGGUACAGAGUCAAUGUGGAGGCUAUAUACAGGGUGUUAUGGUACAGAGUCAAUGUGGAGGCUAUAUACAGGGUGUUAUGGUACAGAGUCAAUGUGGAGGCUAUAUACAGGGUGUUACGGUACAGAGUCAAUGUGGAGGCUAUAUACAGGGUGUUAUGGUACAGAGUCAAUGUGGAGGCUAUAUACAGGGUGUUACGGUACAGAGUCAAUGUGGAGGCUAUAUACAGGGUGUUAUGGUACAGAGUCAAUGUGGAGGCUAUAUAAAGGGUGUUACGGUACAGAGUCAAUGUGGAGGCUAUAUACAGGGUGUUAUGGUACAGAGUCAAUGUGGAGGCUAUAUACAGGGUGUUAUGGUACAGAGUCAAUGUGGAGGCUAUAUACAGGGUGUUAUGGUACAGAGUCAAUGUGGAGGCUAUAUACAGGGUGUUAUGGUACAGAGUCAAUGUGGAGGCUAUAUACAGGGGGUACCGGUACAGAGUCAAUGUGGAGGCUAUAUACAAGGGGUACCGGUACAGAGUCAAUGUGGAGGCUAUAUACAGGGGGUACCGGUACAGAGUCAACGUGGAGGCUAUAUACAAGGUAUUAUGGUACAGAGUCAAUGUGGAGGCUAUAUACAGGGUGUACCGGUACAGAGUCAAUGUGGAGGCUAUAUACAGGGUGUACCGGUACAGAGUCAAUGUGGAGGCUAUAUAAAGGGUGUUACGGUACAGAGUCAAUGUGGAGGCUAUAUACAGGGUGUUAUGGUACAGAGUCAAUGUGGAGGCUAUAUACAGGGUGUUAUGGUACAGAGUCAAUGUGGAGGCUAUAUACAGGGUGUUAUGGUACAGAGUCAAUGUGGAGGCUAUAUACAGGGUGUUACGGUACAGAGUCAAUUGGGAGGCUAUAUAAAGGGUGUUACGGUACAGAGUCAAUGUGGAGGCUAUAUACAGGGUGUUAUGGUACAGAGUCAAUGUGGAGGCUAUAUACAGGGUGUUAUGGUACAGAGUCAAUGUGGAGGCUAUAUACAGGGGGUACCGGUACAGAGUCAAUGUGGAGGCUAUAUACAGGGGGUACCGGUACAGAGUCAACGUGGAGGCUAUAUACAAGGUAUUAUGGUACAGAGUCAAUGUGGAGGCUAUAUACAGGGUGUACCGGUACAGAGUCAAUGUGGAGGCUAUAUACAGGGUGUACCGGUACAGAGUCAAUGUGGAGGCUAUAUACAGGGGGUACCGGUACAGAGUCAAUGUGGAGGCUAUAUAAAGGGUGUUACGGUACAGAGUCAAUGUGGAGGCUAUAUACAGGGGGUACCGGUACAGAGUCAAUGUGGAGGCUAUAUACAGGGGGUACCGGUACAGAGUCAAUAUGGAGGCUAUAUACAGGGGGUACUGGUACAGAGUCCAUGUGGAGGCUAUAUACAGGGUGUUACGGUACAGAGUCAAUGUGGAGGCUAUAUACAGGGUGUACCGGUACAGAGUCAAUGUGGAGGCUAUAUACAGGGUGUACCGGUACAGAGUCAAUGUGGAGGCUAUAUACAGGGUGUACCGGUACAGAGUCAAUGUGGAGGCUAUAUACAGGGUGUACCGGUACAGAGUCAAUGUGGAGGCUAUAUACAGGGUGUACCGGUAUAGAGUCAAUGUGGAGGCUAUAUACAGGGUGUACCGGUACAGAGUCAAUGUGGAGGCUAUAUACAGGGUGUUACGGUACAGAGUCAAUGUGGAGGCUAUAUACAGGGUGUUACGGUACAGAGUCAAUGUGGAGGCUAUAUACAGGGUGUUACGGUACAGAGUCAAUGUGGAGGCUAUAUACAGGGUGUUAUGGUACAGAGUCAAUGUGGAGGCUAUAUACAGGGUGUUAUGGUACAGAGUCAAUGUGGAGGCUAUAUACAGGGUGUUAUGGUACAGAGUCAAUGUGGAGGCUAUAUACAGGGUGUUAUGGUACAGAGUCAAUGUGGAGGCUAUAUACAGGGGGGUACCGGUACAGAGUCAAUGUGGAGGCUAUAUACAAGGGGUACCGGUACAGAGUCAAUGUGGAGGCUAUAUACAGGGGGUACCGGUACAGAGUCAACGUGGAGGCUAUAUACAAGGUAUUAUGGUACAGAGUCAAUGUGGAGGCUAUAUACAGGGUGUACCGGUACAGAGUCAAUGUGGAGGCUAUAUACAGGGUGUACCGGUACAGAGUCAAUGUGGAGGCUAUAUAA
ensembl:lncRNA